GUACCACUAGGCAGGGGCCAGGCCGUGCGGGCGCCCAUCGAAAGGGCCCUGGCCGGUGCAGGCUGCCUGCUGACUCGAGCCCUCCCCGCAGGCAGACGGGCCUCGUGCUGGCUGCAGAGUUCCACUGGGCGCGGCUCCGGCACCGGGCCUGGGACAGGUGGAGGGAGGCGUACCAGAGCCAGGUGCGGAGCAUCCUCCAGGAGGCGGCGGCCAGGGAGCGGCGGCACAGGCGGCGGCGGCUGCGGUGAGUCCCCGGGCACCUGCGGGCCCUUCGGCAGCAAGCAGCCCGGCGUGGUUCACCUCGUGUCUCGCAGCCGCUGUGUGCGUGGGGCCUUGAGGCAGCUGUCAGCUGGACAUCUGCCAGAGCUGGCCCUCGUCUUGCUCCUCUCCCUGGACCCUCCCCAGCAAGCUUUGGUGUCUCCCCCUCCAGAGCUGCAGGGACCCCCUUUGUCUCAGCCCCCAGUCACUUGCCUCCCCGCCGCUUGGCUUUCCAGGCCUUUCACUGAUUCCAGAGACAUCUCUCACAGCCUUGGAGGUCAUGCGCUCUCUCAGCUCCAGCCCCAUCAUGAGCCCGUCCCCCAGCUUGUGCUAAACCAAGCUCUCACUCUCUCUUCCCGGCAGGCCUCCCUCGUUCCGUCUCUUCCUCCCCCUGGAUUUGUUCAGCACGUUGUAUCCCUGGCUGCCUGUGGGUAGUGGGCCUUGUGGACUCAACACCUCCACCCUCCUUCAGGGAAGUGUCCGUCCAGCUCCUCAGAGGGAGUAAGACAGACAGAGUGACGGAGCUAACUCCGCAGCAAGCACGGUGCUGGGGCUCCGGUGGCCUUCCGCUACCUUCCAUCUCUCUGUGCCUCGCUGUGGCUGGAUGCACCUGUACCGUCACUACCUGGUCACCGCUUUGUGCCCUCAGCACAUGCAUGCGCAAGGACCUGGUAUUUGGUCUUGUUCGCCGUGGUGCCCCCGGUGCUCCCCCGGUGCCCGGCACAGAGCAGGUGCUCACCAGCCGUGAGCGGAGUGUCUGUGUCGGCAUGACCCUGCCCAUUGGUGAGACAUAUUCUUAGGUACAAGGAGUCCAUCCUGGAUUGAGGAGUGGUCUGAAGCACCUGGAAUGACUCACAGAAACCUCCCACCAUCUCUCCGCACUGGUGUCACCCCUAUCUCUCCGGCCUGUGCUCCUGCAGGAGCGUGUUCCGUCGCUGGAGAGAGAACACCCUGGCCCGUGUGAAUGAAGCCAAGCAAACCUCCCGAGCAAGCGCUCACUACCGGCGAACCUUGUGUUCCAAGGUGAGGCAUGGAGAGACCAGCCG
rnacentral:lncRNA from 1 species